rnacentral:rRNA from 1 species
UGGCUCAGGAUGAACGCUGGCGGUCUGCUUAACACAUGCAAGUCGAACGCAACCUUCGGGUUGAGUGGCGGACGGGUGAGUAACGCGUGAGAAUCUGCCUUGGGGUCGGGGACAACCACUGGAAACGGUGGCUAAUACCGGAUAAGCCUUUGGGUAAAAAAUUUAUUGCCCCAAGAGGAGCUCGCGUCUGAUUAGCUAGUUGGUGAGGUAAGAGCUCACCAAGGCAGCGAUCAGUAGCUGGUCUGAGAGGACGAUCAGCCACACUGGGACUGAGACACGGCCCAGACUCCUACGGGAGGCAGCAGUGGGGAAUUUUCCGCAAUGGGCGAAAGCCUGACGGAGCAAGACCGCGUGAGGGAGGAAGGCUCUUGGGUUGUAAACCUCUUUUCUCAGGGAAGAAGCUCUGACGGUACCUGAGGAAUCAGCCUCGGCUAACUCCGUGCCAGCAGCCGCGGUAAUACGGAGGAGGCAAGCGUUAUCCGGAAUUAUUGGGCGUAAAGCGUCCGCAGGUGGCGAUUCAAGUCUGCUGUCAAAGCACGGGGCUUAACUCCGUUAAGGCAGUGGAAACUGAAUAGCUAGAGUGCCGUAGGGGUAGAGGGAAUUCCCGGUGUAGCGGUGAAAUGCGUAGAGAUCGGGAAGAACAUCGGUGGCGAAAGCGCUCUACUGGACGGCAACUGACACUCAGGGACGAAAGCUAGGGGAGCGAAUGGGAUUAGAUACCCCAGUAGUCCUAGCUGUAAACGAUGGAUACUAGGUGUAGCUUGUAUCGACCCGAGCUGUGCCGAAGCUAACGCGUUAAGUAUCCCGCCUGGGGAAGUACGCACGCAAGUGUGAGACUCAAAGG